rnacentral:rRNA from 1 species
GACGAAGGGGCUAGCGUUGUUCGGAAUUACUGGGCGUAAAGCGCGUGUAGGCGGUUGUUCAAGUCGGGUGUGAAAGCCUUGAGCUCAACUCAAGAAAUGCACUCGGUACUGGAUGACUAGAGGACCGGAGAGGAUAGUGGAAUUCCCAGUGUAGUGGUGAAAUACGUAGAGAUUGGGAAGAACACCAGUGGCGAAGGCGGCUAUCUGGACGGUUUCUGACGCUAAGACGCGAAAGCGUGGGGAGCAACAGG